AAUUAAAAUUUUGUGCAAAAGUUUGUUUUCAUGUCGAUAAGAAAAAAAUGCGAAACAUCAUUCAAAUCAUCCAACUGAAUGAAACGCUAUUUAGUGGCCAAAAUUCAAGGAUAAAAGACCAUACGAAAACCGCUUUCAGUUGGCUUCACAUAUACACAGAAAUUGUAUUGAUUUUGUUGCGACUCGCUGGUCAUGUGUCAACAUCAACAUCUAUAUCAUACUAGCUGGACCGGGCCCGCUCCGCUGCGCCUUCUUGAACUUUAUGUGGAACAAAAUAUUCCAUUAUAAUAUUUAUUUUCGACAAUUAAAGAGCUUUUAGUGAA